AUGAACGCUGGCGGCGUGCCUAAUACAUGCAAGUCGAGCGAACAGACGAGGAGCUUGCUCCUCUGACGUUAGCGGCGGACGGGUGAGUAACACGUGGAUAACCUACCUAUAAGACUGGGAUAACUUCGGGAAACCGGAGCUAAUACCGGAUAAUAUAUUGAACCGCAUGGUUCAAUAGUGAAAGACGGUUUUGCUGUCACUUAUAGAUGGAUCCGCGCCGCAUUAGCUAGUUGGUAAGGUAACGGCUUACCAAGGCAACGAUGCGUAGCCGACCUGAGAGGGUGAUCGGCCACACUGGAACUGAGACACGGUCCAGACUCCUACGGGAGGCAGCAGUAGGAAUCUUCCGCAAUGGGCGAAAGCCUGACGGAGCAACGCCGCGUGAGUGAUGAAGGUCUUCGGAUCGUAAAACUCUGUUAUUAGGGAAGAACAAAUGUGUAAGUAACUAUGCACGUCUUGACGGUACCUAAUCAGAAAGCCACGGCUAACUACGUG
rnacentral:rRNA from 1 species